rnacentral:tRNA from 1 species
CCCUCGCUGGUCGGGGGUGACGACGACGGUGCUGCGGCCUUCGGCAUCGGCGGUGGCGGUCGCCGACGGGCCGUCGUUCAGCCGGUAGGUGAACGAC